GACGAACGCUGGCGGCGCGCCUAACACAUGCAAGUCGAACGGAGCUUAGAGAGCUUGCUUUUUAAGCUUAGUGGCGAACGGGUGAGUAACGCGUGAGUAACCUGCCCUAGAGUGGGGGACAACAGUUGGAAACGACUGCUAAUACCGCAUAAGCCCAGGGUACCGCAUGGUACUGAGGGAAAAGGAUUUAUUCGCUUUAGGAUGGACUCGCGUCCAAUUAGCUAGUUGGUGAGGUAACGGCCCACCAAGGCGACGAUUGGUAGCCGGACUGAGAGGUUGAACGGCCACAUUGGGACUGAGACACGGCCCAGACUCCUACGGGAGGCAGCAGUGGGGGAUAUUGCACAAUGGGGGAAACCCUGAUGCAGCGACGCCGCGUGGAGGAAGAAGGUUUUCGGAUUGUAAACUCCUGUCGCUAGGGACGAUAAUGACGGUACCUAACAAGAAAGCACCGGCUAACUACGUGCCAGCCGCCGCCGUAA
rnacentral:rRNA from 1 species